CUCUGCCUCAUAAAGGUGUUCUUGCACUUUCUCCUUUCUAGCCAAGUCUCCUCCCUCCACAUAUGUGUUCUCAUCUAGAUCAGUUUCGAUUCCCGCUGGUGGAAAGCAGCCUCAGGCAGGGCCACUGCGCAGGAAGGGCGGGCCUGGGUGCAGGCGGGGCUCCGGGAGUCACCCCCAGACGCGCGGCUCCCCUUCCUUGUCCUCCGCAUGACGCCGGUGCCGGAGCCCACGUGAGCCUUUGCCAAGGAGAGAUUCAGAGAUGUGAGCAGAAAAACUGGAAGACGGACUUCUUCAAUAAGGCAGCGGGACGGUUUGGCUGAUGGAAGAUGUUUCCCGGAAGCCUGUUCACGCUCCACCCUGAAAGUCCCAGGGCCGUGAGAGUCAGCCGGGCCGCCGAGGCGGUGCCCUCCAGGCUGCAGGAUGAUCCAGGAACUGUUUUCCUCAGCACUGUGCAGAGUUUAACUAUCACGGAAGCCUCCCGCCUCAGCCUCCCAAAGUGCUGGGAAUACAGGUGGAAGCCACUGCACCCAUCCAGCUAUGAUUCUUCGGUAGUGUACAAGAUUGUACACUACCAAUGUAUCUGAUUUUCAAUUUUGCUUGAAAUGUGAUGCAAGUGGUGUCAGCCUGCUGGUGCAGAACAAAGCGAAGAUGAGAUUAAUCAUUCUUCCACCUACCUGGAGACACCUGCACAAUUAAUUCUUCCUUUACUCUCUUUUUUUCCUUCAGAAGUUCACCUUAUCUUAUGUAAAAUGCAGAUCUACUGGGCACUAACUAAAGUCUCACAAGAAUAUAACUAUUCCCUGUCUCACUACCUACCUGCCCCUCAUCCUACAUGCCUUCCCCACCCCUCUUUUUUUUUUUUGAGAUAGAGUUUCGCUCUUGUUGGCCAGGCUGGAGUGCAAUGGCGUGAUCUUGCCUUACCGCAACUUCCGCCUCCCAGGUUCAAGCGAUUCUCCUGCCUCAGCCUCCGGAGUAGCUGGGAUUAUAGGCAUGUACCACCACGCCCAUCUAAUUUUGUAUUUUUAGUAGAGAUGGGGUUUCUUCAUGUUGGUCAGGCUGGUCUCCAACUCCCGACCUCAGGUGAUCUGCCUGCCUCAGCCUCCCAAAAUGCUGGGAUUACAGGCUUGAGCCACCGUGCCUGGCCAUGCCUUCCCCUGUUUAAGGAUAUGUAUAAAUACUAAAUCUCCUUAAAACCUCUUCAGAGAAUCCAUGCCACAGACUCUUUCUGUGCCUUGUGUUUUUCCUGGGCACUUCCUCAAGCUUGGACUCAAUAAACUUUGGCUGAUGGAGACUUA